UUUAACGGCCGCGGUAUUUUGACCGUGCGAGUGUAACGCAAUCACUUGUCUUUUAAAUAAAGACCUGUCUGAAUGGCACGACGAGGGCUUAGCUGUCUCCUCUCCCCAGUCAAUGAAAUUGAUCUCCCCGUGCAGAAGCGGGGGUACCACCAUAAGACGACAAGACCCCAUGGAGCUUUAGACACUGAGGCAGCCCACAUUAAACAGCCCUGCCCCUGCCAGGAAGAAUAUUAUGGCCCCUUUCCUACUUGUCUUUGGUUGGGGCGACCGCGGAGGAAAAAAGCCUCCAUGUGGACUGAGAGCACUACUCUUACAGCCAAGACCCGCAGCUCUAAGCAACAGAAUUUCUGACCAAAAUGAUCCGGCACACGCCGAUCAACGAACCGAGUUACCCUGGGGAUAACAGCGCAAUCCUCUCCCAGAGUCCCUAUCGACGAGGGGGUUUACGACCUCGAUGUUGGUUCAGGACAUCCUAAUGGUGCAUCCGCUAUUAA
rnacentral:rRNA from 1 species